CGCUGGCGGCAGGCCUAACACAUGCAAGUCGAGCGGAUGAAGGGAGCUUGCUCCUGGAUUCAGCGGCGGACGGGUGAGUAAUGCCUAGGAAUCUGCCUGAUAGUGGGGGAUAACGUCCGGAAACGGGCGCUAAUACCGCAUACGUCCUGAGGGAGAAAGUGGGGGAUCUUCGGACCUCACGCUAUCAGAUGAGCCUAGGUCGGAUUAGCUAGUUGGUGGGGUAAAGGCCUACCAAGGCGACGAUCCGUAACUGGUCUGAGAGGAUGAUCAGUCACACUGGAACUGAGACACGGUCCAGACUCCUACGGGAGGCAGCAGUGGGGAAUAUUGGACAAUGGGCGAAAGCCUGAUCCAGCCAUGCCGCGUGUGUGAAGAAGGUCUUCGGAUUGUAAAGCACUUUAAGUUGGGAGGAAGGGCAGUAAGUUAAUAC
rnacentral:rRNA from 1 species